rnacentral:rRNA from 1 species
AUUGAACGCUGGCGGAAUGCUUUACACAUGCAAGUCGAACGGCAGCACGGACUUCGGUCUGGUGGCGAGUGGCGAACGGGUGAGUAAUGUAUCGGAACGUGCCCAGUCGUGGGGGAUAACGUAGUGAAAAUUACGCUAAUACCGCAUACGAUCUAUGGAUGAAAGCGGGGGAUCGCAAGACCUCGCGCGAUUGGAGCGGCCGAUAUCAGAUUAGGUAGUUGGUGGGGUAAAGGCCCACCAAGCCAACGAUCUGUAGCUGGUCUGAGAGGACGCCGACCCACACUGGAGCGGGGACACGGUCCAGACUCCUACGGGAGGCAGCAGUGUGGAAUGUUGGACAAUGGGCGAAAGGCUGGUCCAGCCAUUCCGCGUGCAGGAUGAAGGCCCUCGGGUUGUAAACUGCUUUUGUACAGAACGAAAAGGUUUCUACUAAUACUAGGAGCUCAUGACGGUACUGUAAGAAUAAGCACCGGCUAACUACGUGCCAGCAGCCGCCGUAA